UGCUAUACUGCAAGUCGAGCGGACGAUUCAAAAGCUUGCUUUUGGAUCGUUAGCGGCGGACGGGUGAGUAACACGUGGGCAACCUGCCCUGUAGACGGGGAUAACACCGAGAAAUCGGUGCUAAUACCGGAUAAUACGAAAGGCCGCAUGGUCUUUCGUUGAAAGACGGCGCAAGCUGUCGCUACAGGAUGGGCCCGCGGCGCAUUAGCUAGUUGGUGAGGUAACGGCCUCACCAAGGGCGACGAUGCGUAGCCCGACCUGAGAAGGGUGAUCGGCCACACUGGGACUGAGACACGGCCCAGACUCCUACGGGAGGCAGCAGUAGGGAAUCUUCCGCAAUGGACGAAAGUCUGACGGAGCAACGCCGCGUGAGCGAAGAAGGCCUUCGGGUCGUAAAGCUCUGUUGUUAGGGAAGAACAAGUACCGCAGUCACUGGCGGUACCUUGACGGUACCUAACGAGAAAGCCACGGCUAACUACGUGCCAGCAGCCGCGGUAAUACGUAGGUGGCAAGCGUUGUCCGGAAUUAUUGGGCGUAAAGCGCGCGCAGGCGGUUCCUUAAGUCUGAUGUGAAAGCCCACGGCUCAACCGUGGAGGGUCAUUGGAAACUGGGGGACUUGAGUGCAGAAGAGGAGAGCGGAAUUCCACGUGUAGCGGUGAAAUGCGUAGAGAUGUGGAGGAACACCAGUGGCGAAGGCGGCUCUCUGGUCUGUAACUGACGCUGAGGGCGCGAAAGCGGGGGGGAGCAAACAGGGAUUAGAUACCCCUGGGUAGUCCCCGCCCGUAAAACGAAGAAUUGCUAAGUGGUAAAAGGGGAAUCCCACCCUUUUAGUGGCUGUAACCUAAACCGCCAUUAAAGCACUCCCGCCCUGGGGGAAGUACGCCUCGCCAAGAAGUGGAAACUUCAAAAGGGAAUUUGGACGGGGGGGCCCCGCCAACAAGGCGGGUGGGAAGCCAUUGGUGGGUUUUUAAUUUUCGAAAAGCAAACGGCGAAAAGAA
rnacentral:rRNA from 1 species